AGUGAUCUCAAAGAUCCACCUGUCAACUAUACUGGUGAGCAAAGCAUUGUGGAUUUCUGGGAUGCUAUCAAUCUAGAGAUGAUUUCUUCUGGCUUUGUUCCCAGUCAGGCACAGAACCCUUGUGCUGUUAAACCAAAUUAUGAAUUCUGGGCACCUUGGAUAGGGCCAAUGACCAGGAAAAGUGACAAAGUACUCAACACAGAACAUGAAAAAAUGUCAGGUGUCAAGUCAUCUACUGAAGUGGCACUUACACUUGUAUCUGAAGAUCGGCUGGUUGACGAAUUGAUGAAACAAAAAGUGAGCACUGUCCGAAAAUUGUGCAAGGCCUGUAACGUUUGUUCCAAAGGGUCCCGUACUGACCUUGUUAUCAGACUAAGGGAGGAGAUGAAAACGAGACAGACAUAUGACAAAGUAUUUCAGAAGAUCUGGGGCGCAUCUGGUGAGUAGAGUUGGCAGUUUAUGAAAGUCAUUUUUAAUAGACAGUUUUUGCAUACAUUAUGUUUCAUUUUGUGUUUUCAGGUGGAUGGUCAGUCAUUGUGUGUCCACAUGGAAUUGUGUACAGCUUAAAAUUCAACCUUAGAGCAGAGAGUCCAAGGGACUUUGCAGAUUUGCUUCUUUCCUGGAAGCACUUUCCAAAUGUGUGUGUAUAUGAUUUUGCCCGUGGGCUAGCUACACAUACUAACUUGAGGGCACCAGCCAUCUUGCCUUUUCAUCCAUUUGAAGGAAGACUGGCACAGCCUACUGUGGAGAACAUUCAGUCAGCUGAGAUGAAAAAACUUCAGGUGUCACUUCCAUGGCUUAUAGAGAGUCUUGAGUACCCUGAGCCUAAUGGCCACCCAGUUACUGGUUCCUCAGAACACUAUGUACUCUAUGACAAGUUUCAUGAGAAAAACACUAAGGACUCAAAAGAUGUGCUGCGAAGAAUUGACCUGGUUCCAGAACUUCGUUGGACAUUGAACAGUCAGGUUGCAGAGCAGUUGUUUUCAGCUAUGCGGAAAAACAACUACUUCUUGAAUAAUAUGUCUCCGUCCACACAUGUGUUUGCAAUGAGGAAUAUCAUCCAUCACCGGAAUACCGCAACAAAUUCAAAACUCUUACAACAGUUGUUACAUCGUGGUGAGAGACCCCAAGAUAUCUGCAACAUUUCACUGUCUAACCUUGGCCAAGCUGUCAUAGGUUCUGAAUCUUUGGCUAGUACUGACUCUGCCAGGACACAAA